rnacentral:tRNA from 1 species
UAUAUUUAAGUAUAAGAAGUACRUUAAUUUUUGAUAUUAAAAGAAAUAGUUUAAUUCUAUUAAAUAUAA